rnacentral:rRNA from 1 species
ACCAGACUCCUACGGGAGGCAGCAGUGGGGAAUAUUGCACAAUGGGGGAAACCCUGAUGCAGCAACGCCGCGUGAGUGAAGAAGUCAUUCGUGAUGUAAAGCUCUAUCAGCAGGGAAGAAAAUGACGGUACCUGACUAAGAAGCCCCGGCUAACUACGUGCCAGCAGCCGCGGUAAUACGUAGGGGGCAAGCGUUAUCCGGAUUUACUGGGUGUAAAGGGAGCGUAGACGGCGUGCCAAGUCUGGUGUGAAAGGCCGGGGCUCAACCCCGGGACUGCAUUGGAAACUGGCAUGCUGGAGUGCCGGAGGGGCAAGCGGAAUUCCUAGUGUAGCGGUGAAAUGCGUAGAUAUUAGGAGGAACACCGGUGGCGAAGGCGGCUUGCUGGACGGUAACUGACGUUGAGGCUCGAAAGCGUGGGGAGCAAACAGGAUUAGAUACCCUAGUAG